UAGAGCUAGGUUCCGAAAAGC
ensembl:piRNA 21ur-2486 ncRNA